rnacentral:lncRNA from 1 species
UUUGAUGUGCUUUGGGGUUGAAAAAGCCCUUAUGUGAUCCCACGCUUGGAUACUUGGGAGUGAAGAUGUGUUAUUUCACCCACCGACUCGUUCCACACGACCAAGGCCUGUGCCUGCCCUGAGGGCGAGUUGGUUGAGCCUUGUACAGACAACUCUCAGAGCGUGGGCCUGGGCCGAACCUUUCCCUGUGAGCAGCAGCAUCAGCGUCUAGAACGACGGCCCUCCCGGUCCACGGUGGAAGGUGCGGAGCUCCCGUGGUGUGCUGGCAGCGAUUCGCAGAAGGGAGAUGGAGGGCCACAGGGCAGGUGCUCGCACGGAGUCAUCGAGGUCCAGGGACACCUUCCUCCCAGGUGAGCUCACAAAGGCACCACACAUUAAUCCUGGGAGACAACCAUUCUGAUGUGGCUAAGGCCAUCGACAGGGAACAUGAUUGUCAGGAAACCUCAACUUUUCG